AGCAGCCGCGGUAAUUCCAGCUCCAAUAGCGUAUAUUAAAGUUGUUGCAGUUAAAAAGCUCGUAGUUGAAUUUCGGGGUCAGUAGGUUGGUCGUGCCACUGGUAUGUACUGGUCUCACUGAUUCCUCCUUCCUGAUGAGCCGUAAUGCCAUUAAUUUGGUGUUGCGGGGAAUCUGGACUGUUACUUUGAAAAAAUUAGAGUGUUUAAAGCAGGCUAACGCUUGAAUACAUUAGCAUGGAAUAAUGAAAUAGGACGAUCGAUCCUAUUUUGUUGGUUUCUAGGAUUGACGUAAUGAUUAAUAGGGAUAGUUGGGGGCAUUAGUAUUCAAUUGUCAGAGGUGAAAUUCUUGGAUUUAUUGAAGACUAACUACUGCGAAAGCAUUUGCCAAGGAUGUUUUCAUUAAUCAAGAACGAAAGUUAGGGGAUCGAAGACGAUCAGAUACCGUCGUAGUCUUAACCAUAAACUAUGCCGACUAGGGAUCGGAUGAUGUUAAUUUUUUAAUGA
rnacentral:rRNA from 1 species